rfam:Gloeocapsa sp. PCC 73106 scaffold_00214, whole genome shotgun sequence.
GGGCGGAUGGCGGAAUUGGUAGACGCACUACACUCAAAAUGUAGCGACUUCGGUCAUGAGAGUUCGAGUCUCUCCCCGCCCA